rnacentral:rRNA from 1 species
CAAGCGUUAAUCGGAAUCACUGGGCUUAAAGGGUGCGCAGGCGGACCUGUAAGUCAGUGGUGAAAGCCCGCAGCUCAACUGCGGAAUUGCCAUUGAAACUGCCAGGCUUGAAUCUGGUUGAAGUGGGCGGAAUAUAUCAUGUAGCGGUGAAAUGCUUAGAUAUGAUGUAGAACACCGAUUGCGAAGGCAGCUCACUAAGCCAACAUUGACGCUGAGGCACGAAAGCGUGGGGAGCGAACAGG